rnacentral:pre_miRNA from 1 species
UUCAGAAUCCCCUUGGAAACUGGUUAAAAUGUAGAUUCUGAUGGAGGAAGUCUGGAGUGGGACAGAGAUUCCAAAGUUCUCACAAGCUUGUGGGGGAUGCUCCU